AAAGAUACAGCUCAGUGGUAGAGUGUGUGCUUAGCAUGCACAAGGUCCUGGGUUCAAUCCCUGGUACCUUCU
rnacentral:tRNA from 1 species